CUGGAGGUAUCAGAAGUGCGAAUGCUGACAUAAGUAACGAUAAAGCGGGUGAAAAGCCCGCUCGCCGGAAGACCAAGGGUUCCUGUCCAACGUUAAUCGGGGCAGGGUGAGUCGACCCCUAAGGCGAGGCCGAAAGGCGUAGUCGAUGGGAAACGGGUUAAUAUUCCCGUACUUGGUGUUACUGCGAAGGGGGGACGGAGAAGGCUAUGUUGGCCGGGCGACGGUUGUCCCGGUUUAAGCGUGUAGGUGUGUGUUCCAGGUAAAUCCGGUUCACUUUAACACUGAGGCGUGAUGACGAGGCACUACGGUGCUGAAGCAACAAAUGCCCUGCUUCCAGGAAAAGCCUCUAAGCAUCAGGUAACAUCAAAUCGUACCCCAAACCGACACAGGUGGUCAGGUAGAGAAUACCAAGGCGCUUGAGAGAACUCGGGUGAAGGAACUAGGCAAAAUGGUGCCGUAACUUCGGGAGAAGGCACGCUGACACGUAGGUGAAGUGAUUUACUCAUGGAGCUGAAGUCAGUCGAAGAUACCAGCUGGCUGCAACUGUUUAUUAAAAACACAGCACUGUGCAAACACGAAAGUGGACGUAUACGGUGUGACGCCUGCCCGGUGCCGGAAGGUUAAUUGAUGGGGUC
rnacentral:rRNA from 1 species